AAAGCCUACUGCACCAGGUAUGCCCAUGUGGUCUCCCACCCAAGUGCUAACCAGGCCCAAUCCUGCUUAGCUUCUGAGAUCAGAC
rnacentral:sRNA from 1 species